GAUGAACGCUGGCGGCGUGCCUAACACAUGCAAGUCGAGCGAACAGACGAGGAGCUUGCUCCUCUUACGUAAGCGGCGGACGGGUGAGUAACAAGUGGAUCACCUACCUAUAAUACUGGGAUAACUUCGGGAAAACUGAGCUAAUACCGGGUAAUAUAUUUAACCGCAUGGUUAAAUAGUGAACGACGGAUUUGCUGUCACUUAUAGAUCGGUCCGCGCCGCAUGAGCUAGCUGGUAAGGUAACGGACUACCAAGGCAACGAUGCGUAGGCGAACUGAGAGGGGGAUCGGCCACCCGGGAGCUGGGCCACGGUCACGACGCCUACGGGAGGCAGCAGUAGGCAACCGGCCGCAAUGGUCGAAAGCCUGACGGAGCGAGGCCGCGUGAGUGACGAAGGUCUUCGGAUCGUAAAACUCUGUUAUUGGGGAAGAACAAAUGUGUAAGGAACUAUGCACGUCGUGACGGUACCUAAUCAGAAAGCCACGGCUAACUACGUG
rnacentral:rRNA from 1 species